rnacentral:rRNA from 1 species
UUGAGUUUGAUCMUGGCUCAGAUUGAACGCUGGCGGCAGGCCUAACACAUGCAAGUCGAGCGGAAACGAUGGAAGCUUGCUUCCAGGCGUCGAGCGGCGGACGGGUGAGUAAUGCAUGGGAAUCUGCCCGAUAGUGGGGGAUAACCUGGGGAAACCCAGGCUAAUACCGCAUACGUCCUACGGGAGAAAGCAGGGGAUCUUCGGACCUUGCGCUAUCGGAUGAGCCCAUGUCGGAUUAGCUUGUUGGUGAGGUAAUGGCUCACCAAGGCGACGAUCCGUAGCUGGUCUGAGAGGAUGAUCAGCCACAUCGGGACUGAGACACGGCCCGAACUCCUACGGGAGGCAGCAGUGGGGAAUAUUGGACAAUGGGCGAAAGCCUGAUCCAGCCAUGCCGCGUGUGUGAAGAAGGCCCUCGGGUUGUAAAGCACUUUCAGUGGGGAAGAA